AGAGUUUGAUCCUGGCUCAGAACGAACGCUGGCGGCAUGCCUAACACAUGCAAGUCGAACGCCAUCCUCUGGAUGGAGUGGCGCACGGGUGAGUAACGCGUGGGAACCUGCCUUUUUCUGCGGGACAACGGUUGGAAACGACCGCUAAUACCGCAUACGCCCUACGGGGGAAAGGUCCGCCGGAGAGAGAGGGGCCCGCGUUUGAUUAGCUUGUUGGUGGGGUAACGGCUCACCAAGGCGACGAUCAAUAGCUGGUCUGAGAGGAUGAUCAGCCACACUGGGACUGAGACACGGCCCAGACUCCUACGGGAGGCAGCAGUGGGGAAUAUUGGACAAUGGGGGCAACCCUGAUCCAGCAAUGCCGCGUGUGUGAUGAAGGCCUUAGGGUUGUAAAGCACUCUCACUGGCGAAGAUGAUGACGGUAACCAGAGAAGAAGCCCCGGCUAACUUCGUGCCAGCAGCCGCGGUAAUACGAAGGGGGCGAGCGUUGUUCGGAAUUACUGGGCGUAAAGGGCGUGUAGGCGGCUCCUUAAGUUAGGCGUGAAAGCCCCGGGCUCAACCCGGGAACUGCGCUUAAUA
rnacentral:rRNA from 1 species